GGAUUGUGGCUCAGUGUUAGAGCGCUCACCUAUCACAGGCAGGACCCGGGUUCAAUCCUCAGCACCA
rnacentral:tRNA from 1 species